GACGGGGGGUCCUAGCGUUGUUCGGAAUCAUUGGGCGUAAAGCGUGUGCAGGUGGUUUGGUAAGUUGGAUGUGAAAGCCUUGGGCUUAACCCAAGAAGGGCAUUCAAAACUACCAAACUUGAGUAGGGAAGAGGGUCGUGGAAUUCCCGGUGUAGUGGUGGAAUGCGUAGAUAUCGGGAGGAACACCAGUGGCGAAGGCGGUUGCCUGGG
rnacentral:rRNA from 1 species